GAUGAACGCUAGCGGCAGGCUUAAUACAUGCAAGUCGUGGGGCAGCAUGAAUGUAGCAAUACAUUUGAUGGCGACCGGCAAACGGGCGCGGAACACGUACGCAACCUUCCUAUAAGUGGGGAAUAGCCCAGAGAAAUUUGGAUUAAUACCCCGUAACAUAACGAUGUGGCAUCACAUUGUUAUUAUAGCUUCGGCGCUUAUUGAUGGGUGUGCGGCUGGUUAGAUAGUUGGCGGGGUAACGGCCCACCAAGUCUACGAUCAGUAGCUGAUGUGAGAGCAUGAUCAGCCACACGGGCAUUGAGACACGGGCCCGACUCCUACGGGAGGCAGCAGUAAGGAAUAUUGGACAAUGGACGCAAGUCUGAUCCAGCCAUGCCGCGUGAAGGAUUAAGGUCCUCUGGAUUAUAAACUUCUUUUAUAAGGGACGAAAAAAGGUCUUUCUAGAUCGUCUGACGGUACCUUAUGAAUAAGCACCGGCUAACUCCGUGCCAGCAGCCGCAGUAAAAC
rnacentral:rRNA from 1 species